UAUUGAAACAUUACUAUCGUACUGUACAUUAUUUAUUUCAAUUACCCAAAGCGUUUAGUUUGUAGUCACGUCAAAGAUUGGUUGUGCUCAAGAUAGGUCUAUGAUAGCUAAAGUACGAAAAGUAGUUCAUGCAGGAUAAAUUGUCUACAUUUCGUUCAGUUCUGUAGUUACGUCAGUGAGUUGAGGAGCUUGCUGAUCGGUAGUGCUCAAGACGCUCAAGACAGGUCCAUUCUCCAGUGUGCAUUACAAGCAGAAACUCCAGACUUACAACUUCACUAUAGGAAAACCAUCUGAGAAGCUCUCAGAGAGCCCUUGGAUGGUCAGCUUGGAGGGACACAUGCUACUUGCAGCAUCUCACACUGUGCACACUCAAGACUCAUGAUUGUACAUGGACAAGCCGGUAGGUCAACAAUACACAUCCAGGUCACAGAAAAUGCCGGAAAUGGCCCCUUUUGUUAUGCAGGCAUUCAUUCCUUGCACCUCCAUAAAAUGUUCACAUUCACUUACUCAAGUUUAUUUUUGGAACCAGUGAAAACUAAACCCAGUCUCUGCAAGCCAUCUAAGAGAUUUCUAAGAAUAAUUCUGAUUUCAUCCAAUUUCUCUUCAGUGGGUACUCAGCAUUUUGAAUCAGUUAAUUUAUUUUAUAAUAAUGAUGUCUGUCUAAAUUUAUUUGGUUGUAUUAAUAAUUAUAAUCAUUUAUUUGGAAUUAUAACAUGCUGACAUUUGUUGGAAUCGUUUCACUACUUUUCACAUAGGUAUUAACUAUGAACACUUUUUUCAGUGUGCAACUCAGUGUGGCAUUUUGACAGCACAAGUAGUGUAACUGCAUACAUUCAGUGGGCACAUAACACAUAACCUACUGCCUUCUUGACCAUGCCAUAAGUCUGAAUGCACCCAUUGCAAGAUAGUGUGAGUAGUGCAUAUCUUUUCUUGUUGGAGGGGUUUUCAAGAGGCUCUCAGGCAAUCUGUGUUCUUUAAACAAGGGAAAUGCUGGUUUCACAGCAAGUAAGUUCAUGUACUGUAUUGGGAGGGGGGCUAAGUGACAGCUACAGUCACAUUGCAGUGAUUUCUGAUGGGUAUGGUAUUCCCAAAACAAAAAUAUGGUACUACCCAGAAUAUAAAAAUUCUUACAUUUGAACAGUUAUAUGUGAAGCCAAUUCAGUGUAUACCUCAUUGGAGCACUAUUUUAA